AACGGUAAGAUUUUUAGCAAUAAGAGUCCUAGAGUGUCGUAAGGGUGCGUAACACGUAUGCAAUCUGCCCUGUACAGGAGGAUAGCUCCCCGAAAGGGGAAUUAAUACUCCGUAAGAUCUUGAAGAGGCAUCUUUUUGGGAUUAAGGCUGAGGCGGUACAGGAUGAGCAUGCGCAUGAUUAGUUAGUUGGCGGGGUAACGGCCCACCAAGACGAUGAUCAUUAGGGGAACUGAGAGGUUGAUCCCCCACACUGGCACUGAGAUACGGGCCAGACUCCUACGGGAGGCAGCAGUAGGGAAUAUUGGACAAUGGGUGCGAGCCUGAUCCAGCCAUGCCGCGUGCAGGAAGACGGCCUUCUGGGUUGUAAACUGCUUUUGCCAGGGGAUAAAAAGUCCCUGCGGGGAAAAUUGAAGGUACCUGGUGAAUAAGCCACGGCUAACUACGUGCCAGCAGCCGCGGUAAUACGUAGGUGGCAAGCGUUGUCCGGAUUUAUUGGGUUUAAAGGGUGCGUAGGUUGUUUUGUAAGUCAGUGGUGAAAUCCGGCAGCUCAACUGUCGAUGUGCCAUUGAUACUGCAGAACUUGAGUACAGACGAGGUAGGCGGAAUUGACGGUGUAGCGGUGAAAUGCUUAGAUAUCGUCAAGAACACCGAUAGCGA
rnacentral:rRNA from 1 species